rnacentral:piRNA from 1 species
CUUACUGUGAACUUGAGUGUGAGACC